CCUACGGGAGGCAGCAGUGGGGGAUAUUGCACAAUGGGGGAAACCCUGAUGCAGCGACGCCGCGUGAGUGAAGAAGUAUUUCGGUAUGUAAAGCUCUAUCAGCAGGGAAGAAAAUGACGGUACCUGACUAAGAAGCCCCGGCUAACUACGUGCCAGCAGCCGCGGUAAUACGUAGGGGGCAAGCGUUAUCCGGAUUUACUGGGUGUAAAGGGAGCGUAGACGGCUUGGCAAGUCAGAUGUGAAAGCCCGGGGCCCAACCCCGGGACUGCAUUUGAAACUGUCUAACUAGAGUACAGGAGGGGCAGGCGGAAUUCCUGGUGUAGCGGUGAAAUGCGUAGAUAUCAGGAGGAACACCAGCGGCGAAGGCGGCCUGCUGGACGGAGACUGACGUUGAGGCACGAAGGCGAGGGGAGCGAACAGGAUUAGAUACCCGUGUAGUC
rnacentral:rRNA from 1 species